rnacentral:rRNA from 1 species
AGUGAACGCUGGCGGCGUGCUUAACACAUGCAAGUCGAACGAGAACGGGUUAUAGCUUGCUAUAAUUGUCAGCUAAGUGGCGCACGGGUGAGUAAUGUAUAGGUAAUAUGCCUCUUACUAAGGGAUAACAAAUGGAAACGUUUGCUAAUACCUUAUACUCCUUAUUAACAUAAGUUAAUAAGGGAAAGAUUUAUUGGUAAGAGAUUAGCCUGUAUUGUAACAGUUAGUUGGUGGGGUAAUGGCUUACCAAGACUAUGACACAUAACUGGUUUGAGAGGAUGAUCAGUCACACUGGAACUGAGACACGGUCCAGACUCCUACGGGAGGCAGCAGUGGGGAAUAUUGCACAAUGGACGAAAGUCUGAUGCAGCAACGCCGCGUGGAGGAUGACACAUUUCGGUGCGUAAACUCCUUUUAUUUGAGAAGAUAAUGACGGUAUUAUAUGAAUAAGCACCGGCUAACUCCGUGCCAGCAGCCGCGGUAAGAC